GCUACAGAGUGGGUCUAGGUCCAGGUACAGUCUCAGAACCACACUGCAAAACUGGCUUAGUCAGGUAGCUGCUGUAUCUGCUGCUUCCACUGUGAACUCAAAAACCACAUUGCCUGUGCUGCAGGCCGGAAAGCUGCUGAACCAGGAAGCUGUGCUGAUGCUGCUGACUGCCCCUGAGGUUAGAGAUUGACUAGACAUAGUGCCACUGUCAUCCCUGCUGGAGAAGGUCCGAAGCACCUCCACCUCUGUGCUUCCAGAGGGGCACUGUGGUGGCCACUUAAAAUGCUCAGGCUAUACCAUGCACUAGAGCAUCUACCUGGGCAAGGGAUAUGCUGUAUGACACUCUCCUGAUGCUGGGCAUGGCUGUGAGCCAAAGCACCCAGGCAGCCCUGCCAUCAGAAGGGUAAACCACGGACACCUGAUGCCUUCCUGAAGGAAGAGCACUACGCCUGCCAAACCAUCAAGCGUUGAUGCUCCAGCGCCUUCUACCCGUGGUUCUCCAGCCUCAGCAGAAGAGAGAGAAAUUGAUGACCCUGUCGUUGUAGCAUCCCCAUCACCCAGCAAUUAAUUUUAGUUCAAUGCUUCAAACGCUCUUCAGGCGCAGUGUGCGUUCAGCUGUGUCAGCUAAUGGCACUGGAGACACAGAAAUGAAAGAGACAACGUGCCCUCAAGGAUCUCACAGUGUGUGGUGAGGUGGACACACACACACAUAUCUAAGCACACUCGGCCAUGAAAGUCUUUGAAGGUGGGGAAGGGGUGAAGAUGGUGAGGGGAUUCCACGGCUGGGAGAGGUACACUCCCUACACGUUCUAACCAACUGGCCGUGGGGAGGAAGCUGGAGGUCAGGACACAAGCCUCCUGAGUAGCUGGGACAACAGGCACCUGCCACCACGCCCAGCUAAUCUUUUUUGUAUUUUUAGUAGAGACGGGGUUUCACCUUGUUAGCCAGGAUGGUCUCCAUCUCCUGACCUCGUGAUCUGCCUGCCUUGACCUCCCAAAGUGCUGGGAUUACAGGCGUGAGCCACCGCGCCCGGCCUCUACAGCAUAUUUUAAAAGGCAAAAAGCAAAUGGGGGAUCUCAGAAGUCUUAAUGAAGUAACUAUCCCUGAACACUGGGAUCAAUACUCAGCAUCCAGCUGUCAAAUCAACACCAAGGUCUAUACCUAACUGGAGACACUGAGAAGAAGAAUCAGGGAUGAAUGCAAGAAGCGUUUCACUCGUCGCCCAGCCUAGAGUGCAAUGGCGCUAUUUCGGCUCAUUAUAACCUCCGCCUCCCGGGUUCAAGCAAUUCUUCUGCUUCAGCGUCCCAAGUAGCUGGGAUUACAUAAAGCCAAAGCUCCUGCCAAAGAAAUGUGUGGAGCAGAAAAGAAAACCCAGAGCAGAAUGUCAAGAGCAAGGAUGUGUUGGGACAGGAAAUGAAGACGAGAUUGGGAGAGGUCAUGCAGAAUCAGGUCACAUUCUGGAGGGAAGAAGGAGCAAAGGCACAUGAUGAGAGAGUGCUAAUUAAGGUGGCCAAAGAGAACAGUGUGGUGCUGUAAAUGCCGGCAGAGCAAGGAGCCCUGCUGCCAGCCUGACCCAACACAGUCACGUUGAUGAAAAUGGAAAAGGAUGGCUGGAGGCCUUCAGUUGCAAAGUUCUCCAUUGUCAGAUUACGCUGCCUGAUGGGCAUGAAAAGUCCACAAAAGAGAAUUUUCUGAUGUGAGAAUGGAGGGUGUUGCCUGCAACUACCCCAGAUCCCUGCGGUGGCAGUUUAAGCCGCCUCCUGGAGCAGAUUGUUAAGCUGAUGCGAGUCUGGGCUCUGCCUCACCACUUGUCUCAGAGACAGAGUCUUGCUCUGUCACCUAGGCUGGAGUGCAGUGGUGCCAUCACAGCUCACUGCAGCCUCGACCUCCCCGUGCUCAAGUGAUCCUCACACCUCAGCCUCCCGAGUAGCCGCGAUCACAGGUUAAACAAACACAGUUCUUUACAUCAAUGCUUCCGUCCCUGGCCAUCUGGUCUCCUGUCCCCUCCAGACCCAAAACCAUGGGCUGGGCUGCAGCAAAAUGAGGGUGUACUCAGUGCACUGAGGCCCAUGUACCAUGAGAGAUGGUGGGAGAAAGCCUUGGCCGGAGUUUAAGGAUUUGGGGCUGGGCACAGUGGCUCGUGCCUGUAAUCCUAGCACUUUGGGAGGCCAAGGCAGGAGGAUCACUUGAGGCCAAGAGUUUGAGACCAGCCUGAGCGGAAAGACCUGAUGUCAUAUGGAAGCCAAGAAGAAACUCUUGUCCAAUUUGUAGGGAAAGCAGAGAGACAGAGAGACAGAGAGAGCUUCAGCUUGGUUUCAAAACAAGGAUGGAAAUACAGAACAACUUAAGUUACCAGCACACUUCAUAACAAUUAAAAAUCAUCUCGCUUCUUCCUUCUGCCAGCAUAAUUUUGGGCUCACAGGUGGAUUGACCUGACCUCCAAGAAAUGUGUGACAAGGACUCGCCCCUUACCUCCUCAGUUACAGCACGUUUGGUGUUUAUGUGAAGCUGGUGGCUUUCAGUAUCAUGGUGAAAAUUUUCUUUUAGGUCAUAAUUGCUUAACUACAAUGAAAAGUAUUGAUUUUGGAAAAGGCUCAUCUUCCCAAAGAGGUUCACUUCAGGAGGUGAAUUAAUGUGCUCCAGGGAAUGUCCAGUGCUAGGAGACUCAUAAGUUGGAGAGAAACGGCCUGAUUUAUAGAAACUGAGCGAGACUCCGGACCACCUGAUGCAGAGAAACCUGUGACCUGAAAAAGUCUAUUUGUGUUUCCUCUAGGAAUCUCGGCCAAGAAGACAGGGACAAGCUCCCAACUCUGACUACCCCUUUUACAGGGAAAAAAAAAAAAUCCCGUGCCUUCUUUGCAGCAAGUGACAAAUCCUUGUCAUAUCGAGAUGGCUUUUCCUCCUCCUCUUCAAACAUCUUUUAGCAGCAACAGCAGCUCAAGUAACUGGAAUUAUUUCAGAGUUAAAAUGCAGGCUUUGUAGACCCUCUUAGACAGACAGAUUCAAUUUCAAAGGAAACUUCUUUGGCUGGGUACUCAGUGAGUGUUACACAGGGAUUUGGGGAGUUAAUAUUCACUGUUUCUGUUGUUGGAGAAAAGGAAAGCAGAGUUGCUCUUUCUCAUUACUCUCCCCAACGCACAUCUGUUUCCUCUCGUAUCUUGGAAUUAGGAAGAUGGAGGAGACUUAAGUGGUGACCCACCUAGCCUCCUGAUGCAUGCUGGGCUCACUUUAAAACUCCCAAAACAGAUGGCAGUUGAUCACGGUUUUAAAGAUCCCAGCAUAGACUUUCUGCAGCCUCCCUUGUUAGCCACUAUCAGCGCUUAACAUUCUGUCAUCUGAAUAACUCCUUAAAAAUGAUAGCAAUGGUAGUAGAAAUUUAAAAGGAACCUCCCAAAAAACAUGCAAAAGCUUACCACCCCAGUAAAUCACCCGCAACAAUGUCGCAACAGUUUAAAUUUACUGCAGAGAGAGCUGAAGUUUAGGAGACACAGCUUUAUAAUAUUUUUGAGAGAUAGUUGAGUGCAAAUGAGUCCUGUUCCUCUUGCAUCAGGGCCUGCUCCACUGAGUCAUCCUGCCUUCAGAAGCUUCCAGCUAAGUGGCAGGCCCCGGCCAUAGGCUCCCUGUGUCCCCAGCCUCCAGAGAACACACAAUGUUCUCAUCGCCCUUAGCUCCAUUCCAGAAGGGGCCUGCAGUUCUGCAGCUUAUCAGGGGUCUACUGGGAAGUGAGAUGUCACUGUCCCUUUCUGGCCCUGCAUUGUCUGUGAGUGGCUCUCCUGGAUUAAGAGUUGGCAAAGUAUGGCCAGUGGCCAGGACUGGCCUGCUGCCUGUUUUUGUUUAACCCGUGAGCUAAGAAUAGUUUUUACCUAUUUUAAGUAGUUGAAAAAAAAAUCAAGAGAAGAAUACUAUUUCGUGAUAUGUGAAAAAUCACAUGAAAUUCAAAUGUAAGUGUCCAUAAAUAAAGUCUUACUGGA
rnacentral:lncRNA from 1 species